UACGUAGGGGGCAAGCGUUGUCCGGAUUUACUGGGCGUAAAGAGCGUGUAGGCGGCCAAACAGGUCCGUUGUGAAAACUGGAGGCUUAACCUCCAGACGUCGACGGAAACCGUAUGGCUAGAGUCCGGAAGAGGAGAGUGGAAUUCCUGGUGUAGCGGUGAAAUGCGCAGAUAUCAGGAAGAACACCAAUGGCGAAGGCAGCUCGCUGGGACGGUACUGACGCUGAGACGCGAAAGCGUGGGGAGCGAACAGG
rnacentral:rRNA from 1 species